rnacentral:lncRNA from 13 species
AUGAAUAACAACCACAACCAUAUCACAGCCUUGGACACUCUACACUGUCACAGUGGUUAUCCUAUGGGUGUGUGUACUAUGUCAUGGUGGUUAUCCUAUGGGUGUGUGUACUAUGUCACAGUGGUUAUCCUAUGGGUGUGUGUACUAUGUCAUAGUGGUUAUCCUAUGGGGGUGUGUACUAUGUCAUGGUGGUUAUCCUAUGGGUGUGUGUACUAUGUCAUGGUGGUUAUCCUAUGGGUGUGUGUACUAUGUCAUGGUGGUUAUCCUAUGGGUGUGUGUACUAUGUCAUGGUGGUUAUCCUAUGGGUUUGUGUACUAUGUCACAGCUGUUAUCUUAUGGGUGUGUGUACUAUGUCACAGUGGAUAUCCUAUGGGUUUGUGUACUAUGUCACAGCUGUUAUCUUAUGGGUGUGUGUACUAUGUCACAGUGGAUAUCCUAUGGGUUUCUGUACUUUGUCACAGUGGUUAUCCUAUGGGAUUUUACAGGACAAUAAAUGUGUACCACUCUCAGCAUUGGAAUAGCUACAAGGUUUUCAACCAAUGUGGUGUUUCCCAAACUGCUACCAAACUACACAGACAUAGAGAGAAGCUCAAUUGCAUAUUCCUCACAUUCUCUCUCCUCACCUGCUUCUCAAAACCCAUUGGAGGAGAAGGUCAGUGAGGAGAGACCUCUGGCUUUUUCAUCCAAUGGGGUUUUGAAAAGGAGGGGAGGAGAGAGGAUACGAGGAGCAUUCAAUCGAGUUUUCCCAGAGAAGGCAACCGGGUCUCUCUGUACUGCCAAUUCUACUACUCAAACAAUAAGAGAUCUUUGAAACCAUUACCUAAGAAGACACAAAGAUGGCAGUUUAUUUUGACCUGAUCAGAUGAGGUAUAGAGGUGACAAAUCUCACGACAUGACACGUGAAACUAAACUAGGUAGCAUCUGAUCUGCCAGUGGGAGAGCAGUUUUCAGUGGUGCAGCGGUUUCUUACAUUCGUACCCCAGGUAAUCUUAGGUUUUAUUACAUACAGUCGGGAGGAACUAUUGGAUAUAACAGCAACGUCAACUCACCAUCAUUACGACCAGGAAUACGACUUUCCCGAAGCGGAUCCUGUGUUUUGCCCACCACCCAGGGAAAUGGAUCGGAUCCCAGCCGGCGAACCAAAACAACAACCCUGUAAAAGGGGCAAACUAAUCGGUCUUCUGGUCCUGGCUCCGGAGACGGGCACACCGCACACCGCUCCCGAGCAUACUACUCGCCAAUGUCCAGUCUCUUGACAACAAGGUAGAUGAAAUCCGAGCAAGGGUUGCCUUCCAGAGGGACAUCAGAGACUGUAACGUUCUUUGCUUCAUGGAAACAUGGCUCACUCGAGACACUCUAUCGGAGUUGGUACAGCCAGCUGGUUUCUUCACACAUCGCGCCGACAGAAACAAGCAUCUUUCUGGUAAGAAGAGGCCUUAUGAUUAACGAGACGUGGUGUGAUCAUAACAACAUACAGGAACUCAAGUCCUUCUGUUCACCUGACUUAGAAUUCCUCACAUUCAAAUAUCGACGGCAUUAUCUACCAAGAGAAUUCUCUUCGAUUAUAAUCACAGCCACAUAUAUUCCCCCCCCC